GUAGGUGAACCUGCGGAAAGAUAUUA
rnacentral:rRNA from 2 species